GAUGAACGCUGGCGGCGUGCCUAAUACAUGCAAGUCGAGCGAACAGAUGAGGAGCUUGCUCCUCUGACGUUAGCGGCGGACGGGUGAGUAACACGUGGAUAACCUACCUAUAAGACUGGGAUAACUUCGGGAAACCGGAGCUAAUACCGGAUAAUAUAUUGAACCGCAUGGUUCAAUAGUGAAAGACGGUUUUGCUGUCACUUAUAGAUGGAUCCGCGCCGCAUUAGCUAGUUGGUAAGGUAACGGCUUACCAAGGCGACGAUGCGUAGCCGACCUGAGAGGGUGAUCGGCCACACUGGAACUGAGACACGGUCCAGACUCCUACGGGAGGCAGCAGUAGGGAAUCUGCCGCAAUGGGCGAAAGCCUGACGGAGCAACGCCGCGUGAGUGAUGAAGGUCUUCGGAUCGUAAAACUCUGUUAUUAGGGAAGAACAAAUGUGUAAGUAACUAUGCACGUCUUGACGGUACCUAAUCAGAAAGCCACGGCUAACUACGU
rnacentral:rRNA from 1 species